rnacentral:tRNA from 1 species
GCCUGAGUGGCUCAGUCAGUUGAGUGUCUGACUUCGGCUCAGGUUAUGAUCUCACAGUUCACGGGUUCGAGCCCCGCGUCGGGCU